UACGUAGGGGGCAAGCGUUGUCCGGAAUCAUUGGGCGUAAAGCGCGUGUAGGCGGUUCGAUAAGUCUGCUGUGAAAGUCCAGGGCUCAACCCUGGGAUGCCGGUGGAUACUGUCGGACUAGAGUACGGAAGAGGCGAGUGGAAUUCCCGGUGUAGCGGUGAAAUGCGCAGAUAUCAGGAGGAACACCGGUGGCGAAGGCGGUUCUCUGGGCCGGUACUGACGCUGAGGAGCGAAAGCGUGGGGAGCGAACAGG
rnacentral:rRNA from 1 species